GUUUCAAUUUCCCACCCAAUCCCAAUUCCAUACCCUAUCUACCCACCUAGUCACUUUCUCUCUCAAAUCUGUUUUCACAACAUGAGACAACGAGAAGCCGUCCUUGGUGCUUGUGAUGUUCGACGUUCUAAGCCGAUUCUGAUCCUAAUUUCACCGGAAUUCGCCACCACCGUCACCAUGUAUAGCUUUGACGUCUGUACCACCGGACCACCCUUCUCCUCCUCGUUUUGAUCCCACCCAAAUUUUUAUCUUAGUAACCAAGAAGAAUAGACGUGCAACCAUGGUAUAGGAAAAAAGCUUCUCUUUGAUAGCGGUCAUAGGGGAGUUUAGAAAGGAUCUGCACGUAGAUAGAGACUGAAACCAGUUCGGAGGUAGAGGCGGAUGUAGCCAAGUGGAUCAAUGCAGUGGAUUGUGAAUCUACCUUGCACGGAUUUAAUCCAGCUAUUUUGUUUUUACAUUUAGACUUGCUGCUGAUGCUUUAAAAUGCACCAACACCAUUCUUUCUUGCAAUCGUUAGAUGUACACAUAACAGCUCGCCAUCCAUCUUCCUUCCCGAAACUGGAAUUACCAACCCUUCUGCAGUCAGCAGCGCUUGUCUUAGUUGGGCUUCUAUACGAAGGAUCUGCGCACCCCUAACAAUGAAUAAUUUUCUGGGUGAGAUUAGUCGUAAAAGUGGAGGUGAUAAUGUACUUGAAAGAGAGGGAUACGUUCUAUCUGCUGGAUAGAAAUAGAUUGAAGCAUUUUUAAAGUUAGCCCUGAAGUUUCACUGAUUGAAGCAUAGAAAUAGAAUCGCGUCGCCUACUAGGUGUGUUAAAAGUCUUGAUGCAAGUGCAGCCGGAGUUAGCCAUGACAGUGGAUGUAUCGAAAACCACGAUGUUGCACACCGCGGCUGUGCAAGGGAACAUCGAUGUUAUGAACUACUUGAAGAAUAUAGAGACUAGUUUGGUGUGCGAGAAGUAAUGGGAAGACUGCUUUGCAUUCGACUUCGAGGAAUGGGCUUUAUCAUGUGGUGAAGGCGCUUUUGGAGAAGGCGCCAGAGAUAUCUGCAAGGUUAAUAAUUUUUAACAGAAAUUAUGUUCUGUAUACUUUCGAUUUUGAAUUUUACCGAAAACUAGGUAAAUUAUUGAAGAUAUUUGGCUGGAGUUGGGAAGUUACUGGCUUUUUCAGUUCUUUGGCAGCCAUGUCGAUAGGGUCGGGAUGUAUUUUAAGUGACGCAUCAAACUGAUAAGCAGCUCGGAGGCCGCUACCGGUGGUUCUAUAAUUUUUAUUUUUGUAGUAAACAUUGGUCUCUUAUUGUUUUGCCCGGACUUCAAAUUCGGCUAUAUUGUUGAUUCUAUAAAUGAAGGGAAGACCCAUAAAACUUACAAGCUCGUCAAGAUGAUAAGAUGAUUGAAGAAGAUUUUGAGGUUAAUUUUAAGUGGCACAUGGCACAGUGCACAACAGAAAGGCAGUUGGGAAUGUGGGUAUAUGGUAAUCAAACAUAUGAAAGAGUUUAUCGACUCUAUACAACAUGAUUUGGUUAACCAACUUUGGAAUGAAGAAGGGUAUUUUGAAGAAUCUCAAAUUGAGACUAUAGUGGUAGAUUUAUUGUCGGGAUUUAUUAAAAAGAUGUUUUGAUCUUGUAAGCAUUAGUUUGUGUUUUAUACGUUUGUAAUUCCGAAUACCUGAACGAGUUGUUGGGUUGUUUAAUACUAGUUAACUUUUGUCGUGA